GUCCCUAUAGCCGCAAUGGAUACCGCGUUGGGUUUCUAAUCCAAAUGUAGUUGGUUCAAGCCCUACUUGGGAUG